rnacentral:rRNA from 1 species
UACGUAGGGUGCGAGCGUUGUCCGGAAUUAUUGGGCGUAAAGGGCUCGUAGGCGGUCUGUUGCGUCAGGAGUGAAAACUCGGGGCUUAACCCCGAGCCUGCUUCUGAUACGGGCAGACUAGAGGUAUGCAGGGGAGAACGGAAUUCCUGGUGUAGCGGUGAAAUGCGCAGAUAUCAGGAGGAACACCGGUGGCGAAGGCGGCAUCCUGGACCGACAUUGACGCUGAGGAGCGAAAGCCAGGGGAGCAAACGGG